CGUGAGGGACGACGGCCUUCGGGUUGUAAACCUCUUUUAGCAGGGAAGAAGCGAAAGUGACGGUACCUGCAGAAAAAGCGCCGGCUAACUACGUGCCAGCAGCCGCGGUAAUACGUAGGGCGCAAGCGUUAUCCGGAAUUAUUGGGCGUAAAGAGCUCGUAGGCGGUCUGUCGCGUCUGCUGUGAAAACCCGAGGCUCAACCUCGGGCCUGCAGUGGGUACGGGCAGACUAGAGUGCGGUAGGGGAGAUUGGAAUUCCUGGUGUAGCGGUGGAAUGCGCAGAUAUCAGGAGGAACACCGAUGGCGAAGGCAGAUCUCUGGGCCGUAACUGACGCUGAGGAGCGAAAGGGUGGGGAGCAAACAGGCUUAGAUACCCUGGUAGUCCACCCCGUAAACGUUGGGAACUAGUUGUGGGGACCAUUCCACGGUCUCCGUGACGUAGCUAACGCAUUAAGUUCCCCGCCUGGGGAGUACGGCCGCAAGGCUAAAACUCAAAGGAAUUGACGGGGACCCGCACAAGCGGCGGAGCAUGCGGAUUAAUUCGAUGCAACGCGAAGAACCUUACCAAGGCUUGACAUACACGAGAACGCCCUAGAAAUAGGGAACUCUUUGGACACUCGUGAACAGGUGGUGCAUGGUUGUCGUCAGCUCGUGUCGUGAGAUGUUGGGUUAAGUCCCGCAACGAGCGCAACCCUCGUUCUAUGUUGCCAGCACGUAAUGGUGGGAACUCAUGGGAUACUGCCGGGGUCAACUCGGAGGAAGGUGGGGAUGACGUCAAAUCAUCAUGCCCCUUAUGUCUUGGGCUUCACGCAUGCUACAAUGGCCGGUACAAAGGGCUGCAAUACCGUAAGGUGGAGCGAAUCCCAAAAAGCCGGUCCCAGUUCGGAUUGAGGUCUGCAACUCGACCUCAUGAAGUCGGAGUCGCUAGUAAUCGCAGAUCAGCAACGCUGCGGUGAAUACGUUCCCGGGUCUUGUACACACCGCCCGUCAAGUCAUGAAAGUCGGUAACACCUGAAGCCGGUGGCCCAACCCUUGUGGAGGGAGCCGUCGAAGGUGGGAUCGGUAAUUAGGACU
rnacentral:rRNA from 1 species